AUGGAACCGCCCAGCUGCACGACGGUGUACUUCAUUUCGUUCCCCGCUCUCUCUAGGGUUAGUCUCUCUCCUCUAUCCUCGCUCGCAUCGACUGGCGAUUUUUCGCAUCCAACCUCUUGCAUCACCCACACAUCGGCACCUCAGCUGGAUCCGGUGGUCAUCUACGGCAUCUUCGACGAGCGGGGGAUUCCGCGGUGGCUAUCAGGGGGCGAGGUGUCGAAGCGCAGAUCAGGACACUCUCAGAUAGAUCUGCGUGAAAUCCAAAUCCAAUCGUGCCCCCCACUCCUCCGCUCAUGGCCCGCAGCACGCUGGCGGUUCUGCUCCUGCUGGCGGCGCUCGCGGGCGUGGCCGCCGCCGGGGACAUCGUCCACCAGGACGACGAGGCCCCGAAGAAUCCCGGCUGCGCCAACGAUUUCGUCCUUGUGAAAGUGCGGACCUAGGUCAACAAGAGAGAAAGAUGAAUUUGUUGGUGUAGGUGCUCGGUUUGGCCCCAAGAUAGAGUGAAAGGAAAAGCAUGCCAACCGAACAAGACUGUUGUUAGCAGAGCCUUCUGAUAGGUUGUAGGUUUGGAGGGAUUUGUUUAGAGGGGGAAAUAACCCAAUGAACAUCCCUGAACAAUGCAUAUAACACAUAGUUUACGGAUUUUGCUUAGUGUAGUAAUAUAGUUAGGUUUUUUGCAGUUGAAUACAUUGAUUCCCCAACUACAUCACUGCACGAAGCAACUUUUUUUGUUACAAACAGCAUUAAUCUGAUUUUAGAUAGGCAAUAAUUUGCUAUUAAUUAGGCAAAGUACUAUCUCAAAAAGGCUCUAUUCUGCAUUGGAACUGAAUGUGUUUCUCUACUAAUGAAGAUAUAUUUUUAGCUUUUUUACUUCGAGUUCUUUUUUGCAUAAGCAGAAGUACAUACAUGUAUCAGCUAUAAAUGUGAUGUGAAAAAUAUAGUUAGUCUAGGAGGGCUAUGUUGCUCAAGUCUUUAUCAGAGCCAUAAAAAUCCACCGGAGUGGUUUGUGGUUUGUGGUGUUAGGUGUUUUGGCAAGGGGGGAUAUUUUCUGAUAGGUGGAGGUAAGAGCAAUGCAACACGAUGGUGAGAUCUUGUUUCAGGGCUAUGGAGAUUCAUUUUCCCCUCACACUAAAAAUCUCUGAAUCACCUAAUUUUUUUUGGCUUUUUUGGAUUUCGGUGCUGAGGGAAGUUCAAAUUGGGGACAACCACGAGGGGGAAGGAGGGCUCAAUUUGUUUGCUAUGAUUUAUAAAAUUGGCAGCAGUUGUUUUGCCGCCGCAACAGCAGCAAUGUCAGU